rnacentral:rRNA from 1 species
AUUGAACGCUGGCGGCAGGCCUAACACAUGCAAGUCGAACGAGUGUCGGACGGGUGCGUAAUGUCUGGGCAACGGCCUGAUGGAGGGGGAUAACUACUGGAAACGGUAGCUAAUACCGCAUACCAUCGGAUGUGCCCAGAUGGGAUUGGCUAGUGGGUGGGGUAAAGGCUCACCUAGGCUACGCUCCCUAGCUGGUCUGAGAGGAUGACCAGCCAAACUGGAACGGUGACACGGUCCAGACUCAUAGGGGAGGCAGCAGUGGGGAAUAUUGCACAAUGGGCGAAAGCCGGAUGCAGCAAUGCGGCGGGUAUGAAGAAGGCCUUCGGGUUGUAAAGUACGUUCAGCGGGGAGGCGUUACCCGCAGAAGAAGCACCGGCUAACUCCGUGCCAGCAGCCGCGGUAAUUC